UUAAGGGAAAAGGAAGAAGUGGGGAUUGAAAGAGGGUAGUGGAAAUCAAGGUGACCAAGAGGAAAGAGGAGUCACCAUUGAGCAACUAAUAGAUAAAAACUUUCCUUGGAGAAUAACAAAGAAGAGGAUCCUGAAUGAUCCAAAUCCAGAACUACCAGAUUGCAUCAAACCGUCGUAUCCCAUAAUUAAGAAGAAACUGGUUCAGGACGAUGAGGCAGAGAUUUUCC
rnacentral:lncRNA from 1 species